GACGAACGCUGGCGGCGUGCUUAACACAUGCAAGUCGAACGGAAAGGCCCUGCUUUUGUGGGGUGCUCGAGUGGCGAACGGUUGAGUAACACGUGAGUAACCUGCCCUUGACUUUGGGAUAACUUCAGGAAACUGGGGCUAAUACCGGAUAGGAGCUCCUGCUGCAUGGUGGGGGUUGGAAAGUUUCGGCGGUUGGGUAUGGACUCGCGGCUUAUCAGCUUGUUGGUGGGGUAGUGGCUUACCAAGGCUUUGACGGGUAGCCGGCCUGAGAGGGUGACCGGCCACAUUGGGACUGAGAUACGGCCCAGACUCCUACGGGAGGCAGCAGUGGGGAAUAGUGCACAAUGGGCGGAAGCCUGAUGCAGCAACGCCGCGUGCGGGAUGACGGCCUUCGGGUUGUAAACCGCUUUCGCCUGUGACGAAGCGUGAGUGACGGUAAUGGGUAAAGAAGCACCGGCUAACUACGUG
rnacentral:rRNA from 1 species